rnacentral:hammerhead_ribozyme from 1 species
AUCCAGCUGACAAGUCCGAAAUAGAACGAAACGCGCAUCCUGGAU